GACGAACGCUGGCGGCGUGCUUAACACAUGCAAGUCGAACGGAAAGGCCCUGCUUUUGUGGGGUGCUCGAGUGGCGAACGGGUGAGUAACACGUGAGUAACCUGCCCUUGACUUUGGGAUAACUUCAGGAAACUGGGGCUAAUACCGGAAAGGAGCUCCUGCUGCAUGGUGGGGGUUGGAAAGUUUCGGCGGUUGGGGAUGGACUCGCGGCUUAUCAGCUUGUUGGGGGGGUAGUGGCUUACCAAGGCUUUGACGGGUAGCCGGCCUGGGCGGGUGACAGGCCACAUUGGGACUGAGAUGAGGCCCAGACUCCUACGGGAGGGAGCAGUGGGGAAUAGUGCACAAUGGGCGGAGGCCUGAUGCAGCAACGCCGCGUGCGGGAUGACGGCCUUCGGGUUGGAAACCGCUUUCGCCUGUGACGAAGCGUGAGUGACGGUAAUGGGUAAAGAAGCACCGGCUAACUACGUG
rnacentral:rRNA from 1 species